UCCGUAGGCGAGUCAUUAAGUCAGAGGUGAAAUCCCACAGCUUAACUGUGGAACUGCCUUAGAUACUGAUGAUCUUGAGUUUUAGUGAAGUAGAUAGAAUGUGUAGUGUAGCGGUGAAAUGCAUAGAUAUUACACAGAAUACCGAUUGCGAAGGCAGUCUACUAACUAACAACUGACGCUAAUGGACGAAAGCGUGGGGAGCGAACAGGAUUAGAUACCCUGGUAGUCC
rnacentral:rRNA from 1 species